rnacentral:lncRNA from 1 species
AGCAUUUCCAUACCACUCAAUAACCAUAUCAUAAGACCAUAUAUACAAAAUGAUUAUAAUGCUAUACAUGCCAUACUCAAAAUAUACAAGCCAUUAUGCCAAGAUGGUAUACGGAUAGUGUGAGCGAGCCUCCGACCGUUCUCGAUUUCCGAGCUGGCUUGUCAAAACUACAAGGAAUGAAAAGGAGGGAGUAAGCAUCAAUGCUUAGUAAGUUCACAUGCAAAUAGCAAGUAACAUAACUAUAUAAGCAAACAUAAAACAUCAUUUGCAUAAUCAUCACCGAGACAUUCAUAUCACAUUUUCUAAAUAUCAUUCAUCAUCUUACGAUCUUACCGUUGUUGUAUCUAUUUCCAACCCGAGGGUUAAGAACAUACCUGUCUAAAGUGUCCAUUUCACAACACUUACCAAUACGUCCCUUUCAUCUCGAGUAUUCCUCCGCUUGAGUAGAAUUUUACCCGUUGAACACAUCGGAAUAUAAUUCGGAUACAUGGAAAGUUUGCACAUAAGUGCCACAUAUGUAGCCAAGCUACUAUGUAACCCGCCCAUAAGCGAACUCGGACUCAACUCAACGAGCUCAGGCGUUCGCAUCCAUAAGUGAACUCGGACUCAACUCAACGAGUUCGGAUGCCUAGUUACAUCUCUCGAACUCGGACUCAACUCAACGAGUUCGGACAUUUGCAUCCAUAAGUGAACUCGGACUCAACUCCACGAGUUCGGAUGCUCAACCAUCCUAGUGACAUGUCACUUGUAUCCUAAUCCAUUCCUAAGGUUCAGCGGGACCUUUUCCCCAAUCAUGUGUCUCAAACAUCUUCUACGAAAUGCCGAUACUGAUACUCGAUAGUAUUUCACAUUUUCCAAGUAUAUCACAUAAUUUGACAUAUUAUCAAACAAUUGUCACAAGUAUGAUAUUUCAUAAUAAUGAUCAUAUCAUUUAAAUAACAUUAAAACAUUUAAAAUAAUAACUAUGUUACCAACAUUUACAUAUGAACUUACCUCGUAUGUGAAAAUGCUACUUUUACCAUUUCGUCCACAACUUGGUAUUUUCCCCAUUUUAGCCCGAAUUUUAGUUUUCCUUGCUCUAUCAUUUAAAAUAUAGUCUAAUUAGGACUCACAUUAUUCAAAUUGACCCAAAAUCAUAUUUUGAAAAAAUUACAAUUUUGCCCCUAAACUUUUGCAUAUUUAAACUUUUGCCCCAAAGCUCGUAAAUUAAACUUCAGCCCCAAACCCUAGGUUGAAUUAUUGCUAGCAUAAGCUUAAUCGAGCUACCGGGACUCCAAAAACGUAAAAAUCAUUAAAAACGAGGCUAGAACGGACUUACAAUCGAGCUUGGAAGCUUGAAAAACCCUAGCCAUGGUUUCUCCUUGCUAUAUUCG